rnacentral:lncRNA from 10 species
GGAAGUGGGUGUGGCUGUAAAAGACAAUACAAGAGAUCCUUGAAAUAAUAAAAAUGUUCUGUAUCUUGACCAUAUUAAUGUCUACAUCCUGGUUAUAUGUACUAUAGUUUUGCAAAAUGUUAUCAUUGGGGAAAACUAGAUAAAAGAUACACAGUAUUUUCUGCAAAUUAUUUCUUACAAUUGUGAACCUACAAUUAUCUCAAAAUAAAAAAUCUAAUUUAAAAAAGUGAUCAGCUGAGUGGAGGAAUAAAUAGUAUGAAGUAGAAAUUAACUUAAAAAAUCAAGUUAGAAGGUAACUGUCAUCUUAAACAUGCCAAUGCACCCUAAGAUAAAAUUCAGGCAAUUUAAAAUUGACAGUAGUUUUCCUUUUAACCAAGAACCGUUUUAUCAUAUCUCUUACAGGUGAAACAGCUUUGGUGUUCAAAAAUAACAUCUCUUUUUCUUUUUUUUUUUUUUCUUUGAGAGGGAGUCUUACUCUGUUGCUAGGCUGGAGUGCAGUGGCAUGAUCUCGGCUCACUGCAACCUCUGCCUCCCGGGUUCAAGUGAUUCUACCGCCUCAGCCUCCUGAACAGCUGGGAAUACAGGCGCAUGCCACCAUGCCCAGCUAAUUUUUGUAUUUUUAGUAGAGACAGGGUUUCACCAUGUUGACGGGGAUGGUCUCAAUCCCUUGACCUCGUGAUCCGCCCACCUCGGCCUCCCCAAGUGCUGGGAUUACAAGCAUGAGCCACCGUGCCCAGCCAACAUCUCUUUUUCUUACUCUUCUCUAUUUGUCUGCAGUAUUACAAAAUGAAAUCAAGAUGGUGCUAUAAAAGUUCCCCCUGCAAACCACUCCAAACUCCCUUCUAUAACUGACACCAAUGCCAGUUUCUUUUCUCUCAGAAAUUGUUUUUAACUUUUAUUUUCAUAUUGAAUUAGAAGAAUGCUUCACCUCUUUUUAUCUGUAUUUCACUCAAAAGUCCAGGUUAUUUUAAACCUCAAAAUCCAGUUCUAAUCCAGUUUACAUUUACUCCUUUAUUUGCACUUAACCAGUGACCAAGCAUCUAUAUACAGUCUAUUUAACCU